GAAUGAAGGAAGCAUGGUAAUGUGCACAAAAAUUGAUUUCAGUCUCUAGGCCUGUCUAUUUGAUGCCUUUCGGUUUUCAUUUGGGGGCAUAGUUUCGUAACAAAACG